AGGACGAACGCUGGCGGCGUGCUUAACACAUGCAAGUCGAGCGGUAAGGCCUUUCGGGGUACACGAGCGGCGAACGGGUGAGUAACACGUGGGUGAUCUGCCCUGCACUUCGGGAUAAGCCUGGGAAACUGGGUCUAAUACCGGAUAUGACUUCAGGUUGCAUGACUUGGGGUGGAAAGAUUUAUCGGUGCAGGAUGGGCCCGCGGCCUAUCAGCUUGUUGGUGGGGUAAUGGCCUACCAAGGCGACGACGGGUAGCCGACCUGAGAGGGUGACCGGCCACACUGGACUGAGACACGGCCCAGACUCCUACGGGAGCAGCAGUGGGAAUAUGCACAAGUGGGCGAAAGCCUGAUGCAGCGACGCGCGUGAGGAUGACGGCCUUAGGGUCGUAACCUGUUU
rnacentral:rRNA from 1 species